UAGGGAAUCUUCCACAAUGGACGAAAGUCUGAUGGAGCAACGCCGCGUGAGUGAUGAAGGGUUUCGGCUCGUAAAACACUGUUGUAAGAGAAGAAUGACAUUGAGAGUAACUGUUCAAUGUGUGACGGUAUCUUACCAGAAAGGAACGGCUAAAUACGUGCCAG
rnacentral:rRNA from 1 species